rnacentral:RNase_P_RNA from 21 species
CGAGUAAGUCAGAUGAUCGCGGCCACAGACUUGUUCUGUGGACGAGGAAAGUCCGAGCUCCGUAGGGCAAGGGUGCUGGGUAAUUCCCAGUGGAGGUGACUCUAAGGAUAGUGCAACAGAGAUAUACCGCCAGAACCCCUACUCAGUAGCAAUACUGGGUAUGUGGUGAGACAGCCUUAGGGCUGUCUGGUAAGGCUGGAAAGGUGCGGUAAGAGCGCACCAGCAGUUAGGCGACUAACUGGCUAUGUAAACCCCAUCCGGAGCAAGACCAAGUAGGGACUAGAAAACGCGGCUGCCCGUCGCGUCCCGUGGUAGGUCGCUUGAGCUAACUGGUAACAGUUAGCCUAGACAGAUGAUCGUCAAAUACAGAACUCGGCUUAUAGACUUACUCGCUUA